AAAUAAAGAAAAUCCCCUUUCAAAAAACUUCUCCCUUUUUUCCAUUUCGAAGCUUGUGGAAAGUGAAAACCCUCUCCGCUUCCGCUACCGCAAUUCCGCUGCCGUCGCCGUCGGCCGCCGCACCGGAGAUUCUGCUCCGCCUUCAUUUAGAGUGUUUGAAUAACCAAUCUCCAAAGAUGGCUGUGAUUGAUGAUGGUUUGAAGAAGCUCGAGUACCUUUCCUUGGUUUCCAAGGUCUGUUCAGAGCUGGAAACUCAUCUAGGGUUUGGGGACAAAGUUCUAGCCGAGUUCAUAACUGAGAUGGGACGAAACUGUGAGAGUGUGGAUGAAUUUGAUGCCAAAUUGAAGGAACACGGUGCCGAGAUGCCUGAUUACUUUGUCCGUACACUCCUCACUAUCAUUCACGCAAUUCUUCCUCCCAAGGCAAAGUCCGAGAACGACUCAAAGAAAGAGAGCACUGCUGAAGGUAGUAAAAGCAAGUUCAAGGCUUUGUCUAUUGCUGAUAACAGGGAUAGGGUAAAGGAUAUCCAGAGGGAAAUUGAGUUGGAGGCCAAGGAAAAGCGAAAUGACAGAGAAGAAUGGGGAGAUGGGCGUGAAGAAGAUAGGCCCAAAGGUAGAGAUGGAGGUAGAGGUAGGGAUAGGGAAAGAGAUACAAAUCGAGACAGAGACAGGGACAGGGACAGGGACAGGGACAGGGAUAGGGAUAGGAGGGAUAGGAGAGAGAGGGGAAGGGAUAGGUAUGAUAGAGAUGAAAGGCGGAGAGAUAAUCAUUAUCAUGAUUAUGAUAAGGGAAGGCAUACAGAUCGAUCCAAUAAGCACAGGAGGGAUGAGUAUGAAAAGGACGGAGAUGUUAGAGAAGAUGAUGUUGAUAGGAGAGGAAGUAGGGAUCAGCGGAAUGGAUUGCACCAUUCUGAUGAGCCUGAAUUGUAUAAGGUUUAUAAGGGUAGGGUCUCAAAAGUGAUGGACACAGGUUGCUUUGUUCAGUUCAGCGAUUUUAGAGGGAAGGAGGGUUUGGUUCAUGUUUCGCAGAUUGCUACUCGGCGAAUUGGUAAUGCUAAAGAUGUGGUGAAGAGAGAUCAAGAGGUCUAUGUUAAGGUGAUUUCAAUUUCUGGUCAAAAGUUGAGCCUGUCAAUGAGGGAUGUUGAUCAACAUACUGGGAAGGAUUUGCUACCUUUGAAGAAGAACUCAGAGGAUGAUUCUCUUAGGACAAACCCAUCGAUAUCAAAGGAUGAUGGGCCUGUGACAAGGACGGGUCUCUCUGGGAUUAGGAUUGUGGAAGAGGAUGUUACUGCCCCAUCUCGCCGGCCAUUGAAGAGAAUGAGCUCACCGGAGAAGUGGGAAGCCAAACAGUUGAUUGCCUCGGGUGUUUUGGGUGUCAAAGAGUAUCCAAUGUAUGAUGAAGAAACAGAUGGGAUGCUUUAUGAAGAAGAGGGAGCUGAGGAAGAACUUGAGAUUGAGCUUAAUGAGGAUGAGCCAGCCUUCUUGCAAGGGCAAACCAGGUAUUCUGCAGAUAUGUCACCUGUGAAAAUAUUUAAGAAUCCAGAAGGGUCAUUGAGUCGUGCAGCUGCACUUCAAUCUGCACUCAUUAAGGAGCGUAGAGAAGUGCGUGAGCAGCAGCAAAGAACCAUGUUGGAUUCAAUCCCAAAGGAUCUGAAUCGUCCUUGGGAAGAUCCAAUGCCAGAGACUGGUGAGAGGCAUCUUGCACAGGAACUUAGAGGUGUUGGUUUGUCGGCCUAUGACAUGCCUGAGUGGAAGAAGGAUGCUUUUGGGAAGACCGUCACUUUUGGGCAGAGGUCAAAGCUUUCAAUUCAGGAACAGAGGCAGAGCUUGCCUAUCUAUAAGCUGAAGAAAGAAUUGGUUCAGGCAGUGCAUGAAAAUCAAGUUCUUGUUGUCAUUGGUGAGACUGGUUCAGGCAAGACAACCCAGGUAACGCAGUAUCUUGCAGAAGCUGGGUACACGACAAUGGGUAAGAUUGGGUGUACACAGCCACGUAGGGUGGCUGCAAUGUCUGUAGCCAAGAGGGUUGCUGAAGAGUUUGGUUGUCGUCUGGGGGAGGAAGUUGGAUAUGCUAUUCGUUUUGAGGAUUGCACUGGACCUGAUACUGUAAUCAAGUACAUGACGGAUGGUAUGCUUCUUAGGGAGAUUCUACUUGACGAGAACCUUUCUCAGUACUCUGUGGUCAUGCUUGAUGAAGCUCAUGAGAGGACAAUCCAUACAGAUGUUCUUUUUGGAUUAUUGAAGAAACUUGUGAAGCGGAGACCAGACCUUCGUUUGAUUGUCACAUCUGCUACCUUGGAUGCUGAGAAGUUUUCAGGUUAUUUCUUCGAUUGUAACAUCUUCACUAUCCCCGGAAGAACUUUUCCUGUAGAGAUACUCUACACCAAGCAGCCAGAAAGUGAUUAUCUUGAUGCAUCUUUAAUCACUGUUCUACAAAUUCACUUAACGGAGCCAGAAGGUGACAUCCUUCUCUUUUUGACGGGACAGGAAGAAAUUGAUUUUGCAUGCCAGUCACUAUAUGAGAGGAUGAAGGGUCUUGGUAAAAAUGUGCCUGAGUUGAUUAUCUUACCAGUUUAUAGUGCCCUUCCCAGUGAAAUGCAGUCGAGGAUAUUUGAUCCAGCCCCACCUGGGAAGAGGAAAGUAGUUGUGGCUACCAAUAUAGCCGAGGCAUCUCUGACCAUCGAUGGGAUAUUUUAUGUAAUUGACCCUGGAUUUGCAAAGCAAAAUGUUUAUAACCCAAAGCAGGGGCUAGAUUCACUAGUCAUAACUCCAAUAUCACAAGCAUCGGCCAAACAACGAGCUGGGCGUGCUGGCCGUACAGGGCCUGGGAAAUGUUACCGCCUUUACACUGAGAGUGCAUACCGCAAUGAGAUGUCCCCUACUUCAGUUCCAGAAAUUCAGAGGAUAAAUCUUGGGACUACUACAUUAACGAUGAAAGCAAUGGGGAUAAAUGAUCUCUUGUCUUUUGAUUUUAUGGAUCCUCCUUCACCCCAAGCACUCAUUUCUGCUAUGGAACAACUAUACAGUUUAGGAGCCCUAGAUGAAGAGGGUCUUCUGACCAAAUUGGGUAGGAAAAUGGCCGAGUUUCCUCUGGAUCCACCAUUAUCUAAGAUGCUACUGGCCAGCGUGGACCUUGGAUGCAGUGAUGAGAUCCUGACUAUCAUUGCCAUGAUUCAGACAGGCAAUAUAUUUUACAGGCCUAGGGAAAAGCAAGCCCAGGCUGAUCAGAAGAGAGCCAAGUUUUUCCAGCCAGAGGGAGAUCAUCUGACUUUACUUGCAGUCUAUGAGGCUUGGAAAGCUAAGAACUUUUCAGGGCCUUGGUGUUUUGAGAACUUUGUUCAGUCUCGAUCUCUUAGGAGGGCGCAGGAUGUCAGAAAACAGCUUCUAAGCAUCAUGGAUAAGUAUAAACUGGACGUUGUGAGUGCUGGAAAGAAUUUUACAAAGAUCAGGAAGGCAAUUACUGCAGGCUUUUUCUUCCAUGCUGCUAGAAAGGACCCACAGGAGGGGUAUAGAACCCUAGUGGAGAACCAGCCAGUUUAUAUCCAUCCAAGCAGUGCUCUCUUUCAGAGACAACCGGAUUGGGUCAUCUACCAUGAGUUGGUUAUGACUACAAAGGAGUAUAUGCGGGAGGUGACAGUUGUUGACCCCAAAUGGCUUGUGGAACUAGCACCCAGGUUCUUCACGGUGGCUGAUCCUACCAAGAUGAGUAAGCGCAAGCGUCAAGAACGUAUUGAACCGCUAUAUGACAGAUACCAUGAACCAAACUCCUGGCGUCUUAGUAAACGGCGUGCUUGAUAUGUGUUGGUUCAAGCCAUCUUGUAUUGAUUUUUCCUGUUAGUGUAAAUGUAAAUAAAUUGUACAACAACUCCAGCAUAGUCUCCAAUUUGACGUCAAGGGAGGAAAUCAUAGCCCCAGAAAAUUCCAUCUAGCUCUCCAUUUCAGAAACAUCUUUUCCUCUACAGAUCUGGUGUAGAGAGAGAAAUGAAGGGCCAUGUCUUUCGUAAUCGGCAGAAAUUUUUAUUUGGGAAGGUUCUUUCUUCACAUCUGCCAUCUUUGUCAAAGAUUCAAACCUUGCUUCUGACUCAUCGAAAGAAUCUUCCAAAAUAUUUUAGUGGAGCUUGAACGAGGCCCUGGAAAUUGCAAUUUUAUUUACCAAAGAUGGCAGAUUACUCCAAGCUGCUUGAAUGUCAUCUUCCUCCUGUUGGUGUGACAUUACACCACUUGCGUUGUGCGGUCAAAGUAGAGGGCCAUUUGGCAUUCUGUUGAAAGGUUCCCAGAACCGAAUUUUCCAGUGACAUCUUCUCCCGUCUCUUAGAGUCUACUGCAUCUUGGUUAUAAGAAUUGUAAUGUAUAGCUGUGGAAUAGCGAUUCUCGCGUGCAAAAUGCUCUGUUUUUGUGUUACAUGCUAUGCAUAAGUGAUUAGGUGAUUUAAAGAACCAGUCUGUCCCGUAAAUCUUACUUUUACAUUAAAAAAUGUUCGUCUUAUCAGGCGGCAUUAGGUUCAUGCA